AGUGAACGCUGGCGGUAGGCUUAACACAUGCAAGUCGAACGGCAGCACAGUAAGAGCUUGCUCUUAGGGGUGGCGAGUGGCGGACGGGUGAGGAACACAUCGGAAUCUACUUUUUCGUGGGGGAUAACGUCGGGAAACUUACGCUAAUACCGCAUACGACCUACGGGUGAAAGCAGGGGAUCUUCGGACCUUGCGCGAUUGAGUGAGCCGAUGUCGGAUUAGCUAGUUGGCGGGGUAAAGGCCCACCGAGGCGACGAUCCGUAGCUGGUCUGAGAGGAUGAUCAGCCACACUGGGACUGAGACACGGUCCAGACUCCUACGGGAGGCAGCAGUGGGGAAUAUUGGACAAUGGGCGCAAGCCUGAUCCAGCCAUACCGCGUGGAUGAAGAAGGCCUUCGGGUUGUAAAGCCCUUUUGUUGGGAAAGAAAAGCAGCAGGUUAAUAACCAGCUGUUCUGACGGUACCCAAAGAAUAAGCACCGGCUAACUUCGUG
rnacentral:rRNA from 1 species